UUACUUUGCUAAAGGCCCCACGGUGGGCGCCAACUGUUUGAUCGGAAAACGGUGAUAAAAAGAUGUGGGUUUAACAAAGACGUUUUAUUAUGGUCGGAGAGACUUUCAGUCGGUUACAAGAGAAGUAAAGAGAAAGCGACAGAAGAGAAGCCGGCAACUCGAUGAGUUACCGGAGAGAUACAGAUAUCGGCAAGAUGAGCAAAGGUGAAAACCCUAAUCUAGCCGCCAAGUGUUAGUCAGAUGAUUUCGGAUCCCUCUCUCGUUCCUCUUCCUUCUCCUUAUAUAAUCCUCUGAUGUGUCGUUCUUGACCUAAUUUAGGUCGUCUUCGUGGGCCUUCCUCAUUGGGCCGAAGGGCCCGUAUUAAUCCGAGCGAUCGCCGAGCCGGAUGCCUCCUAGUCGACGACGGUCGACUCGAGGUACUCUAGAAGUGAGCCGAGAGACUGACCUUCUAAGCCGGCUAUCCGAGCCGUCGCUUUCAUUGGUCCGGGCCAGGCCUCCUAUUCCUUGGGCCUUGAGGGAUGGUUAGAUCCAUCUCCUACAGU
rnacentral:lncRNA from 1 species